GCGGGGAUAGCGCAGUGGUAGCGCAGGGGCCUUCCAGGUCUCAGCCGGUGGUUCGAUUCCAUCUCCCCGCU
rnacentral:tRNA from 1 species